AGCAGCCGCGGUAAUUCCAGCUCCAAUAGCGUAUAUUAAAGUUGCUGCAGUUAAAAAGCUCGUAGUUGAAUUUCGGGACUAAUAUGUCGGUCGUGCCUCGGUACGUACUGGUUUAUUGGUUUCUCCUUUCUGAAGAACCAUGAUGUCAUUUAUUUGGUGUCGUGGGGAAUCAGGACUGUUACUUUGAAAAAAUUAGAGUGUUUAAAGCAGGCUCACGCUUGAAUACAUUAGCAUGGAAUAAUGAAAUAGGACGUUUGAUUUUAUUUUGUUGGUUUCUAGGAUCGACGUAAUGAUUAAUAGGGAUAGUUGGGGGCAUUAGUAUUCAAUUGUCAGAGGUGAAAUUCUUGGAUUUAUUGAAGACUAACUACUGCGAAAGCAUUUGCCAAGGAUGUUUUCAUUAAUCAAGAACGAAAGUUAGGGGAUCGAAGACGAUCAGAUACCGUCGUAGUCUUAACCAUAAACUAUGCCGACUAGGGAUCGGAUGAUGUUAAUUUUUUAAUGACUCAUUCGGCGCCUUACG
rnacentral:misc_RNA from 1 species